UCUGCCAUUUUCUGCCUCACCAGCUCCAGGAGCCAGUGGUUUCUGCCGGGACACCACGAGGGCACGGCCAGGCCCUGCUGCAGGGAAGCUGAGCUGAGGAGCCCAAGGGGCGGCCAGGGGGACACAUCCAAGUGGCACUCAGCUUCCAGCUGCUGUCGCUUCACCGCCUGGCCAUCGGGCAAAAUUCAGCCUCUGCAUGGAGUUCACUGGGCCCCCAGAAGGUGGAUUCUCAAUGUGUAACACUCACAGUUGUUGAAUCUAUGGAUAUUCGUUGAAUGUAAUUAUUUGCUUUGCCUGAAAGGAUUUUAUAGUUUGUAUUAUAAAAAUAACUGAUUCCAAGAAAAUAAAGCUCAAUAACAUUGAAAGAAAAAAAAGCAGUGAGACAUGAGGAACGGCCUAGAGAUUGGCUGGGCUCGUCGGACUCCUCAGCAGCUGCCUGGCCCACCCAGACCUCCUGGAUUACAGUCCACCAGUGUUUUCCCCAGAGACAAGCUUCUGGACGGUUCCACCAAAGGGCACCAACUAACAUGACUACUUGCCUCGAGGUUAGUGUGCGGGCGCCAGACUCUUCCAGAGCUGGAAUCCCAGCACUGCACCCAUGAGCUGUGAGGCCUGGCAAGCCGUGUAACCUCCCUCAGCCUCAGGACCCUCAUCUGGAAAUAGAGCUCCUGCUGGGGAAACGAAAGGUUAAGUGAGGAUGAUGCGUGAAAGACGAUUAGCGUGCUAAUUGGAAUCUAGUUUUAUUGUCGUUAUGGUUGUUUCUCUUGCUGCUGUGGUUGUUGGUAGGUGUCUCGUGUCUCAGUUUCAUUCUCCCAGAAACAGACUCUGAGGCCAGGAGGCAGUGCAGAGGUCGGUUUGUGGGAAAGGAAGGCCCCCAGGACACACCAGCAGGGAGCUGGGAAAAUGAGACAAGGAAGGGAAGGUAGCCCAAAAAGUGUAUGUGGACAAACCCAUUACCACUGUGGGCAACUGCCCCCCAGUCCUGCUCGGGGCUCUGGAGCCAACGCAGCCCACACACCUCAGAGCCCACACACCUCAGAGCCCGUGUGCCUUAGAGCUUACACACCUCAGAGCUUACACACCUCAGAGCCUAUGCAUUCUCAGAGCUUCUACACCUCAAGAGUCCACACACCACAGAGCCCACAUACCUCAGAGCCCACAUGCUUCAGAGCUUACACACCUCAGAGCCUACACACCUCAGAGCUUACACACCUCAGAGCCCACACACCACAGAGCCCACAUACCUCAGAGCUUUCACACCUCAGAGCUUACAUACCUCAGAGCCUAUGCAUUCUCAGAGUUUAUACACCACAGAGCCCACACACCUCAGAGCCCACACACCUCAGAGCCCACACACCACAGAGCCCACAUACCUCAGAGCUUUCACACCUCAGAGCUUUCACACCUCAGAGCUUACAUACCUCAGAGCCUAUGCGUUCUCAGAGUUUAUACACCACAGAGCCCACACACCUCAGAGCCCACACACCUCAGAGCCCACACACUUCAGAGCUUACACACCUCAGAGCUUUUACACCUCAGAGCUUACAUACCUCAGAGCCUAUGCAUUCUCAGAGCUUAUACACCUUAGAAUCCACACACCUCAGAGCUUCCACACCUCAGAGCCCAUGCAUUCUUAGAGUCCACGUGCCUCAGAGCUAUCCACCCUACCCCUGAUCCCUAAGAACAUGGGAGCUAUAGCACUGAUAUACCAACUCUAGUCGUUCAUUGGCUGAGGGCUGUCAGCAGAGGCUGUUCACCUCCUGGCCCUCUGACCUGCACGGGGUAAGAGGAGUGAGCCUCUACAGCCACAGAAAUGCUGGUGCCAGCAUUUCAGAGAUUAAGUGGUGACACCUGAAGUCCUGUGGGUGAGGAGAUGUGGACAGGCCACCAAUGGCG